ensembl:lncRNA
CUUUGCAUCUUCUCUAGAAUCCGUCACAGCCAUCAUGGUUUUCACUAAGCUGUCAAGGGCCCUUCUCCUUGUCUCUCUGCUUUCUCUUUGUACUCAAAGUCUGGAUGAUGAGUUCGACGUGGAAGUUCUUGCAGAAAUUAUAAAACAUUUUCACGAUAAAUUUCAACAAACACAGUAUGCAGCAGCCAUCAAUGUCCCAAAGAAUAAUGUCUUUUCAUUCCUGGAAGAAGCAAGCAAUGUGAGGGAACAUCUCGAAACUAAUCUGAUCUAUGAAGGCACUGAGCUGAUUGUUGCAAAAUUUUCUAAAGACAGACAUUCAGAAGAUCUACUGAUGAAUCCUCCAAAACAGUCUCUCUUAACAAAAUUGUUAAAUAAAAAAGGGUUGGAUGGAUGUGUGGUUUUCUACACCUUACUCUCUCCCUGUAUAGACAAGUGUCUCAGUAAUAAUAAUAACAACAUUUUACCAGGUCUUGAUGAAUUAAAAGUGCACACAGGAAUUAAAGCCUUUGCUUUCACACAUAUUUAUAGGCCUGACCAAGACAAAAAUGAUCUGCAUGCAGAACUGGGAAAGGUUGCUGAACGUGUGCCUCUCUACCGCUGUUUUUAUAAAUGUAUCCUUUGUGGAAAACCAGGAUCAACCACACCAAUAAAAGAGGGCUGGUCUAGAAUCUGAAUAAAUUCAUUUGCUCCUCAUCAUCACCACUCUCACAAGAGAGUUCACAUCAUUUUUGGAGCCCAAUAAAGAUUCUGCUAGAUAAUCCA